GUACACGCGUGACUAGCAUAUCAAUAAGCGGAGGAAAAGUAACUAACAAGGAUUCCCCUAGUAACGGCGAGUGAAGCGGGAAGAGCUCAAAUUUGAAAUCUUAAAGGGUUUCCCUUUACGAAUUGUAGUUUAAAGAAGUGUUUUCUGUUGAGGUUUUGGUAAAAGUUCUUUGGAAUAGGACAUCAUAGAGGGUGAGAAUCCCGUAUUUGACCUUUACUUUCAACUUUGUGAUACACUUUCAAAGAGUCGGAUUGUUUGGGAAUGCAGUCCAAAAUGGGUGGUAAAUUUCAUCUAAAGCUAAAUAUUGGCGAGAGACCGAUAGCGAACAAGUACCGUGAGGGAAAGAUGAAAAGAACUUUGAAAAGAGAGUUAAACAAUACGUGAAAUUGUCAAAAGGGAAGCGUUUGACACCAGUGUUGUUUUUCUGAAAAUCAAUUAAAGAACUGUUCAUGCUAAGCUGUUUAGACUUUAUCAGCUAACUGUUUAGUUUUGAGCUUUUCUUUAAUGCACUUUUCAGUUAACAAGUCAACAUCAAUUUCUUUUGCUGUAAAAAAGCUUGAGGAAGGUGGCUUGAGAUUCGUCUUAAGUGUUUAUAGCCUCUUGCCUAUGCAGUCGGAGAGAUUGAGGUCUGCAGCGUAGAUCCUUCGGGGCUAAAUGCAUUUGUGCUAAGUUAUAGCAUUUUAUAGACAACUUGUUGACUAUGAUUUGUCUUGUAGCUUACUCGCUUAUGUUAUUUUACCUACGCUUAGGAUGUUGAAGAUGUAGCACAUCAU
rnacentral:rRNA from 1 species